rnacentral:lncRNA from 1 species
GAGAAGGGCCCUUAGCAGGAAGCGCCACCUCAGCAGAGUAGGUGCAGGGCCAGAGCUAGUAGCCAGGAGAGGAGCGAGGGUGCUCCACAGCGACCUCAGCAGGUGGCCUGGUCUUGCCCACUCCAGGGCUCCCAUCCUUCCUUUGGGCUCCGCUCUAACACUGGUGGCUCUGGAGGGAGGGUGGGACCCAUCCUUUUUCAAAACCUUUCCUGAAGACCACAGGGGAGCUAGCCUUGCAGGCUAGGGAGCAAGAGUGGCAACAGGCCAAGGCGAGCCCUUACCAAUUGGGAAUCCCACU